rnacentral:misc_RNA from 1 species
CUGCCAUGUCAAUUGUUGAAGGCCCUAAACCACCAUCCACCUCUAUAUCAAGGGAUGGGUAUUUCUUCCUCAAUGUCUUUACCUUAUCCAUCAUAUCUGGCAUGAACUUUUGCCCUCCAAAUCCCGGUUCCACAGUCAUGACAAGGACCAUUUCCACAGGAUUUUCACACUCAACCAAUGGAUAAACUUCUUCAAUAGGAGUUCCAGGCUUUAAAGCUACACCAGGCCUCAUGCCCUUGGACUUGAUUUUCUGGAUCAAUUCUCUCCAAUUUUCUCUGGAUGCCUCAACAUGAAACGUAAAUCCAGAAGCACCAGCUUUACCCAAAGGCUCAAUAUAAUCAAGAGGAUUGGUGACCAUAAGGUGGCAAUCCAAAUAUGCCCUUGUGUGUUUUCUCAAACUCUCAAUGACUGGAGCACCAAUGGUUAGAUUUGGGACAAAGUGCCCAUCCAUGAUAUCCAUGUGAAGCCAAUCAGCGCCGCAAUUGAGCAUGCGUUCCGACUCCGAUGCCAAAUUCGCGAAAUCCGAUGAGAGCAUCGACGGUGCGAUUUUCGGCGUCACCCCCAUUUUGCCGAUUGUUGACCCGAUUCCACACUAGUAACGGAUCCGAAUUCUGAAGAGGAAUUAGGUGGAUAACCUGGAAUGCGCGAGAGAGCAACGGGUUUCUGAAUUGAAAGUUGGCAAAACGGAGUCGUUUAGGUGUUUAAAAUUUGAAAUCGUUGAAUUUUGUUUAUUUCCACUCUCACCAACCUCGCCCAAUU